UAGAGGGCUCAGGGAUCAUUUCUAUAGUUCGUUACUAGAGAAGUUUCUCUGUGUAGAACUCUGGAAAUCACGAGGAAGAGUUGUAGUGUUCUCUCCUGAGUGUGAAGCUGGCUCUUGGUUUUGCUUUGCUGCAGCUGCCUCUUGCCAUUGAUGGUCAUUCCUUUUCUCCUUCUGGGGAGUUGGAGGGAGAGGAUGCAGUCUUGAGUGGC
ensembl:snoRNA U3 Small nucleolar RNA U3